rnacentral:tRNA from 1 species
AUUAGGCAAUUUUAAUUUUCACCUGUUUAACAAAAACAUGUCUUUUAGAUUAAAUUAAAAGUCUAUUCUGCCCAAUG